GGUUCACAGCAAUCAGAAAUGAUAUUUUCCCAUAUUGAUUUUUUUUCUUUCUUUUUGCCCUUUCUCUAUCUGUGCCAUGUCUCUUUGAAGUAUACAUCAAGGCACAAUACUUAUUGUGGGAAGCAAAAUCGAGUGAAUCUCUUUUUUUUCAUGUGGACCAAGAUAGUCAAAGAUUUUCCUUACCACUUAUGUUCUGCCAAGUGAAAAACAAUUUCACUCACCAAGGUUGACAGACAACAGAGACUCAUACACAAUCAGAAGACAGUACUGUGACUAGGUGGGGGAAAAAAAGAGCUAAUGGAAACACACAAAAAAAAAUACAGAGAGGAACAAACACAUACUACCACCACCACCAAAAGACAAGAUGGCAAGAGAAGGACUGACCUAGAUUCUGAAACACCUUCCUACAAUUAUCCUCGUCUCAUGGAAAAACUAGACAGACGAAAAGAAAAGAGGCAAAUGGAGCUUACUUUGCUAAGAGCUCAAAGAACUCUCCCCUAAAUAGUCUUCUUCAAACAAAAAUACAAAACUAAUUUCCCAUCUACUCUUUGGAGUUCCAUAAAAAAACAAGCAAGCAAUGGAAUAUGUACAGAAGCAGCAUGAGAGCUGAUGCCUGAGUUGUUUUCUUUGCCUUUGACACUGCAACCAAUAACAUUCUAGAUUGUGUACAGCCC